UGAUCGAUGAGUUUCAGAUAUUUGUUGC
rnacentral:sRNA from 1 species